rnacentral:lncRNA from 10 species
AGAGCCGACACGGCUGGCGGGGGAGGCGGUGGAGGCGGACAAGCGAGGACGUUUCUGGAGAGGAGAAGGGAGGGGAGGGGAGGGGAUAGGGGGAGGGGGAGGAGGAGGAGGGAGUGGAGCGGCGGGAAAGAUCCCUCUGACUGCCCCUGAGGCCCUGGAGGAAGGACACUGGUGAGCCCCGCAGGACACUGAAAUGUGCGCCGAAAGGACGCCUGAUGGAAGACUAGGAUGGGAAAAGGAAAUGAGAGCCGAUGGCAGGGCGUGGUGGCGCAAGCCUGUGGUCCCAGUAAUUUGGGAGGCUAAGGCGGGAGAAUCGCUUGAGCCCGGGAGGUCGAGGCUGCAGUGAUCCGUGACUGCUCCAUUGCGUCCAGCCUGGGCGACAGAGCGAGGCGCUGUCUCAAAAAAUAAAAUAAGGAAAGUAGUACACUGAAGGCCGGGCGCGGUGGCUCACGCCUGUAAUCCCACCACUUUGGGAGGCCGAGGCGGACGGAUCAGGCGGUCGGGAAAUCGAGACCAUCCUGGCCAACAUAGUGAAACCCCUACUAAAAUACAAAAAAAUUAGCCAGGCGUGGUGGCGCGCGCUUGUAGUCCCAGCCACUCGGGUGGCUGAGGCAGGGGAAUCGCUUGAACCCGGGAGGCGGAGCUUGCGUGAGCCGAGAUCGCGCCACUGCACUCCAGCCUAGCGACAGAGCGAGACUACGUCUCAAAGAAAAAAAAAAAAAAAAGGUACACUGAGUACUCCGGAGACCGCCUAAAGGGGUCUCAGAGCAGGGCGUUAGGAGGGAUUUGUCAGGUUGAAGUUGCUCAGGUGAUAAAUUCCGUGGUGUGAGAAGCCCCCAAACCUCAGAAUGUAACUCAGACCCAGGUCGAGGGCAAGAUUUUCAGUCACAGAGCACCUGAACACACAGAUUUGGUGGCUAAUGGCUAAGCCAGGGACAGAUUUUCUUUCUUUUCUUUUUUUUUUUGAUGUAUUGUAGGGCUAAUAAUUGUAACCAUUUUAUUUUGGUGGAUCUUCUUCAUGAAGAGAUGAUGUCAAGGCACUCAUCACAGGUUAAGCUGAACAUUGUUACUAUUGUUAUUAUUUCCAGACUGAGUAUCGCCCUGUCAUUCAGGCGGGAGUGCAGUGGUACAAUCACGGCUCACUGCAGCCUCGACCUCCUGGGCUCAAGCGAUCCUCCUGCCUCAACCUCCUGAGUAGCACCACCACUCUCGGCUAAAUUUUGUAUUUUUUGUAGAGGCGAGGUUUCGCUGUGUUGCCCGGGCUGGUCGGGAACUCCUGGACUCAAGCCAUCCGCCCACCUACGCCUCCCAGAGUGUUGGGAUUACUGGAUUGAGCCACGCAUCUGGCUGAACGUUAUUUUUUAAAUCACCAGAGAAAGUAAAGGAGUGCUCAAAAUAGUGUCAGAUGAUGAGUGGGAUGAUUGUGAUGAAGGAAGGAGUUUGUUAAAAGAAAAAGCUAGUUCCAAGAAAGAGAAUGGAAAGAGUAAAGCAGGAGCUGUCAGAAUAGGUAAAAAUGUCCAAAGAGAAAACUGCAUAAUUUGAGGCAAAAUUACAGAAAAUAGUUCCUGCAAAAAUCAGAUAGGUAUUCAGCAUCAUAGGAAAGGGGCGAAAAUCAGAUAGGUAGGUAUUCUUAAGAAGUUGUGGCCGGCCGGGCGCGGUGGCUCGCGCCUGUAAUCCCAAGACUUUGGGAGGCCGAGGUGGGUGGAUCACCUGAGGUUAGGCGUUUGAGACCAGCCUGGGCAACAUGGCGAAACCCUGUCUCUACUAAAAAUACAAAAAAAAAUUAGCCGGGCGUGUUGGCGCGUACCUGUAGUCCCAUCUACCCUGGAGGCUGAGGCAGGAGAAUCGCUUGAAUCCAGGAGGUGAUGGUUGCAGUGAGCCGAGAUUGCACCAUUGCCCUCCAGCCUGGGUAACAAGAGCGAAACUCUGUCUCAAAAAAAAAAAAAAAGUCAUACAGUGACUGCAUCACAGCUCAUGCUGUAGAAAGAUGUUUCUGGAGAGAAAAAUUCAAGUAGCCAAUUUAAAUCGAAUAUUAGGAAAAUUAAACCAAAAGGGCUCACGCCUGUAAUCCUAGCACUUUGGGAAGCCGAGUCAGGCGGAUUACCUGAGGUCAGGAGUUCAAGACCAUCCUGGCCAACAUGGUGAAACCCUGUCUCUACUAAAAAUACAAAAAUUAGCCGGGCGUGGUGGCACAUGCCUGUAAUCUCAGCUACUCAGGAGGGUGAGGCAGGAGAAUUGCUUGAGCCCAGGAGAUGGAGGUUGCAGUGAGCCAAGAUUUUGCCACUGCACUCUAGCCUGGCCGACAGAGCAAGACUCUGUCUCAAAAAAAAAAAAAGAAAGAAAAUUAAACCAAAAGACUAGUAAUGCUUCAGAAAUUAGGGACUGUUAAACCAGCUGCAAGAAGAUAUAUUCAUGCAAUCUUUGUAUUAAGAGUCUCUCUGGCUGGGUGCGGUGACUCAGACCUGUAAUCCCAGCACUUUGGGAGGCCAAGGCCAGUGGAUUGCUUGAGCCCUGGAGUUCAAGACCAGCCUGGGGAACAUAGUGAGACCCAGUCUGUAUUUUAAAAGUUAAAAAAAAAAAAAAGCCUCUAAGCUAAGUGGACCUUUGAUCCCCUCACUCAAAUUUGACAGUUCUCCAUUAUUCAUAAAUGAGGUAAUAGUUGUUGGAGACGGUCUUCUCUGAAUGCAAGACUAGUACUUUGGCCUGAUUAUAGAACUUCCUGCCGUCCUAAGGAGUCAUCCCAGGUGUCCACUAUAUCUUUUUCAGCAUUGAGUACCAGCACAGUCACAUGUAGGCUUUAUCCCACAGUGAAGACUUGGCAUCACUCAGAAUGAUGCCACAGGUCCUAGGCCUUUUCCACACUGGGCUCACUUCACCAACUCGCAAAUGCUCAUCCACACCUGGUCCACCUGGACUACCUCCUUAUCUGUAGCCCUUUCACCUCUGUGUCCAUAGAAAUGUCUUACCUAAGCUCUGAAAUCUAAACAUUCAGAGAGCACCUUGAUGCUUGAGAGCAUCUACACAGAGAUGAACCUUUAAGAUCUAUGGUUUAAAACAAUUGAAUUCCAAGAUGUUGCCCCUUACAGACUGA